GACGAUCGCUGGCGGCGUGCCUAAUACAUGCAAGUCGAACGAAGCUUUUUUAACUGGUGCUUGCACCGACUUAAACAACUGAGUGGCGAACGGGUGAGUAACACGUGGGUAACCUGCCCCAAAGCGGGGGAUAACAUUUGGAAACAGAUGCUAAUACCGCAUAACCACAGAAACCACAUGGUUUCUGUUUCAAAGACGGUUUCGGCUAUCACUUUGGGAUGGACCCGCGGCGUAUUAGCUAGUUGGUAAGGUAAUGGCUUACCAAGGCAAUGAUACGUAGCCGAACUGAGAGGUUGAUCGGCCACAUUGGGACUGAGACACGGCCCAAACCCCUACGGGAGGCAGCAGUAGGGAAUCUUCCACAAUGGACGAAAGUCUGAUGGAGCAACGCCGCGUGAGUGAAGAAGGUUUUCGGAUCGUAAAACUCUGUUGUCAGAGAAGAACGUGUGCGAGAGUAACUGUUCGUGCAGUGACGGUAUCUGGCCAGAAAGCCACGGCUAACUACGUGCCAGCCGCCGCCGUAA
rnacentral:rRNA from 1 species